CAUGACGAGCGGCCGGUGGUCUGCCCCGUUGCCGGGAGACAGGCAGCUGUACUUGAUUCCCGUCGUAAUUUUGGCGAAAUUCUGGCCGAGUCGGGUUACCCCGAGCCCUUAAAGGCGGACCUCCAUCUCCAGGCGAGUAAACGGUAAUGUCGUCCUGAAGUGUGUUCGGAGGAGAGGAUGACUCCAAUGAGCCCGGCCAGCACCUCAGAACUGUCCAGUGUGUUGUCUCCUCCGCGCUCCUCUCCUCUCUGCUGCAGCAGCUCAGUGAACUACAUCAUCUCAUCAACACCUCACCAACACCAACACCAACGUGGAGCCAACUGGGUUCAGACUGAAUGUGCUCAUAUUGACAACUGUAGUUCUGUGAACGGAGAGCAUGGUUCUGGUUCACUUCUGUGAGCUGCUCAUGUACAGGAGCAGCUCUACAAAGUUUUAAGUUUACAUUAUUUGUCUUUCACCAAACAAAGUUUAUCUGAAAUAUGGUCUCUUGAGGGACACUGGAAGGGACAGGGCCUCAGCUCUGUAUAGAGCGACUUGUUAUGGUCCACAGAUUUCGUCGUUAAUUGCUUUUUAAUGAGAACUAAAUUGAAUUAAACAGUUAUUGCUCACUGUAGUUUAUGAAUCGGUUGACUGUUGAGACAAAAGAUAACAUCUGAGUCUUCUUUUGAAAAAUAAGGCCUAUAAAGAUCAAAAUAGAAUAAACCAUACAAGCUAGAUUACAAUAGAAAUCUGUAAUCACCCCAACCAACGUCUGUAGAUGAGCCUAGCUUAUUAACAUUUAAACACUGUGGAUUGUUCCUUUAACACCCAUCUCUCAAUAAACAACCGAACAAGGAA